ACCGCGGUAGCCCAGUUGGUUAGGGCGUCGGCAGUAUUGAAGGUCGCAGGUAUGAAUCCUGCCUGCGGUG